UCCAGCGAGUAAUAUAUCUGCGAGAGUUGCUGCGUAUCAUCGUAUAUUACUUUCUUUGUAAUGCGAUUAUUUUGUACAAUUAUUAGUUAAAAUGAUUCAUACGACGACAUCCGAGCGAGUAGAUAGCGUGUUUUUCGAAAUGCGAUCAUUCCCUAUUACUAUUACAAGCGAUUAACAGCCCGUGGAAUUGCUACAGUGCAUCGUAAUUUUCGCAUUUGUUCUACCACUGCCAUAUAAUAAAAUACGCAUCGCAAGCAAUUACUAAAAAGGCACAAUCAUCGUAUUCUACUGAUUAAUGCAGUUAUAAUUAACUAUGUUUUUGCGAGUGAGUGAAGAAACAAUCAAAGAUGAACUCAAGAAAAAGAGAAGGCGAUGACAAAGCAACCAUGGGCGGUCGCAUGAUGCCGUGCACGCAACACGCACAAAUGGCCAAGGAUGCCCAUAUUCCUUCAUCAUUGUUGCUCUUCGUGAGGGAAUCGAGACGACGCGAGAGUUCAGAGGUUCAUCCGAGUUCACGGACGUAAAUUCGGUAUCGUAAAGCCCACCGCAAGCCCUGAUCGGUAUACCGUCUUUUCUUGCUUAAGAUCGCCAAUAUAAGAUUAAUUUUAUUUCUAACUUUAAUUCAACUAAGUCCUCGCCUCUUCCUAAGGCUAGAAUUAGCGGUAUAUAAGAGGAAUCAAAGUCACAAUUAGAGUUAUCCAACAUUGAUGAAAUUGACUGACAGCUGCUCACGUAACUGACAUUUCUCUACUCUUAUCUCAUGAUUGCUAUUACUAUAUAAAUGAAUUUCUUAAUUAUGCUUUCCCUUUUUCUCUUCCCGUUAAUUUUCGAUUAACCGGUCGAAUAUACAGUACGAUCAAUUUAGUUGGCAUUUUCGUGCAUUUUAUUCGCGAGCUCAUUCAAAUUUUAUCACAGCUGAUCACGUGCGACGUUUUCAAUGCUCUUAUAUAUGCAAAGGUAUUUUUUGGUAUGCGAAUGACACGAUGUUGUGUACAACAGCGCACGAUGUCGCAUAAAUCAUACGUAAAUAGAAACGAAAAGAGACAAGAUAGAAAGCGAAUGGUCGACGUCGUGCAUGCAACCAUCAUUGUAACACAAUGGUGACGACUUAUAAGGCGCGUGAAUUCACGGCACUCAUUCGCAUCUAGUUUCCAAAGUGGAAUAUCAACGCAAUCGAACGCGUACGCAACAGCAUUUCCUUUAACAUAUGCGAAUUUACUUCUAUUACGCGUCUUUGUGGCAAGAAGGUUUGCGCCAUCGCCAAGAACUUCCUUCGUCAAUAAAACUAUCCACCCACGUGUUAUUCAAGGACUCCUCAAUCGAUUACAUCUGAUUCGAAUAUUAAAUUGAGAGAUGAUAUAUUUAAUUGCUGGAUAAAGACACGUUCGAUGUGAAUAAUAAUAAUGGAAAUACUACCUGAAUAAUAUAUACUGUUUUAGUAUUUAUUAUUAUUAUAUUUGCUAUCAUAAUUAUUAUAGAAUUUUAUGCUGCUACUACGUUGUAAUAAAACAUUAUAAUAGCAUUACACAGCGCACGAGCAAAGAGAAAUUUUAAUUAAAUAUUUUUACAAUAUUUUAAAUGCGCCAAUUUUUUAUUUUUUAUGUUAAAUUGAUAUCUCAGAUCUCUUUGUGCUUCAAAAAUAUUUCCGCAAUUUACAAUUGAGUCUCUACAGCAACAGAUUGCCCAUCGAUCGAAGCCGCUUUGCAAAUACAAAUAAACAUCCCGUGUAAUCCAGGUGCGUGCUUCCCUUUUAAGAUCUGAGAUCUUAAACUAGCUCUCCUACAUACAUGCCAACCAUCAUGACAUGCAAUUACCGCUACUAUUAACGUUAUCCAGAAAGCUUUCAUGUCUAC